GGAGGUGUGCUAGAGUGGUUUAAUAGGUCCGUCUACUAAACGGAAGGUCCGAAAGGGUCCGGGGGUCCGAAUCCCUCCACCUCUU
rnacentral:tRNA from 1 species